UACGGGGGGGGCAAGCGUUGUUCGGAAUUACUGGGCGUAAAGGGCUCGUAGGUGGCCAACUAAGUCAUACGUGAAAUCCCUCGGCUUAACCGGGGAACUGCGUCUGAUACUGGAUGGCUUGAGGUUGGGAGAGGGAUGCGGAAUUCCUGGUGUAGCGGUGAAAUGCGCAGAUAUCAGGAGGAACACCGGUGGCGAAGGCGGGACUCUGGGCCGAUACAGACGCUGAGGAGCGAAAGCGUGGGGAGCAAACAGG
rnacentral:rRNA from 1 species